rnacentral:piRNA from 1 species
CAGAGAGAUGGCUCAGUUAAGAGCUCUGGC